UGGGGAAUAUUGGACAAUGGGGGAAACCCUGAUCCAGCCAUGCCGCGUGUGGGAAGAAGGCCUUAUGGUUGUAAAGCACUUUAAGCGGGGAGGAGGGCACUGGUAUUAAUACUACCAGGUACUGGACGUUACUCGCAGAAUAAGCACCGGCUAACUCAGUGCCAGCAGCCGCGGUAAUACAGAGGGUGCGAGCGUUAAUCGGAUUUACUGGGCGUAAAGCGUGCGUAGGCGGCUAAUUGAGUCGGAUGUGAAAUCCCCGAGCUUAACUUGAGAAUUGCAUUGGAUACUGGUUAGCUAGAGUGUGGGAGAGGAUGGUAGAAUUCCAGGUGUAGCGGUGAAAUGCGUAGAGAUCUGGAGGAAUACCGAUGGCGAAGGCAGCCAUCUGGCCUACCACUGACGCUGAGGUACGAAAGCAUGGGGAGCAAACAGG
rnacentral:rRNA from 1 species